CUGGUAUAAUUGGUAUUGUUUUGUUGUGCAUCUUAAUACAAAUUUUCAUAAAAUAGUUAUAUAUUGUUAUAUAUUUUCAUGUUAUGUAAAACUUCUUUAACAUAGAUAGAUUUAUGUAACAUAGGCACCCGAAAAUUGCGAUAUAGGUUGACAUCUAUUUCAAAUGAUAUCAAAAAUUAACUUUGAAUAUGGGUGUAUGUAAAAACACUGGCAACCAGCUUGUAUGCCAAUAUAUAAAAGUCUCAUUGACCCAUGUUUCAGUGUAUGCUGGUGUAGCUUCUAAAAUGUGAGAGGGCAAGGAAAUUAGGCGUUACAGUACUUUUCACAAACUAAUCUGGCUUUAGUCUAUAUACUACAAGAAGUAAUAAGAAAAAUCAAUUUCAGAAGAUUACCAAUCCUUUCUUCCUGGCAUCGUUCAAAAACUCUUAAAAGUGAAUUUGGCAUUGACAGAUACUAAAUGGCGAUAAUUAUGUUAUAUCAGCAAAACGAGUAAUGAACAGUUUUAGUCUUCAACGUUUGAAAUUACUCAGCAAACAUGAAUUCAUUGAAGAAACUGAUUGUCGUUGCUCUAGCAUAAAGAUCGUUGCACGAUCGACCUGAUAAAAGAUGAAAUUACUUAUAUAUGUGAUUAAUUAAAAAAAGACAAUUUGUUUGUAAAUAAUCAGGUGAAUGGUAGCCUUUAUUAUAUGGCUGGUUGUGUUCAGCACAGGAUGUUGUGCAUAGUUAAUGUAACAAUAUCAGUUUUUCAGUUCCAAAAUUAAAAAUUAUGUUUCACAUAGUAAAUUGGGUUUUCUUACUCUUUUGCAUUUUAUUCGUUUUUGUUAUAUAUUAUU
rnacentral:lncRNA from 1 species